rnacentral:rRNA from 1 species
AACGAACGCUGGCGGCAUGCCUAACACAUGCAAGUCGAACGAAACCUUCGGGUCUUGUGGCGCACGGUGGCGUAAGGCGUGGGGAGCUGCCCUUAGGUACAGCAUAACUCCCCGAAAGGGGUGCUAAUACCGGAUAAGGUCUUCGGACCAAAGAUUUAUCGCCUUUGGUGGGUCCCGCGUGGGAUUAGCUAGUUGGUAUGGUAAAAGCCUACCAAGGCUACGAUCCAUAGCUGGGAUGAGAGGAUGAUCAGCCACUCUGAGAGUGGGACACGGCCCGGACUCUUACGGGAGGCAGGAGUGCGGAAUAUUGGACAAUGGGCGAAAGGAUGAGGCAGUAAGGCCGGGAAAGUGAUGUAGGCCUGAGGGAUGAAAAGCUCAUUUAACCGGGCACAUAAUGACAGUACCGGAAGAGAAAGCUCCGGCUAACUACGUG